UGGCUGUGGCAUAGGCUGGCAGCUGUAGCUGGGAUUCCCCCCUAGCCUGGGAACUUCCAUGUGCUCUGGGUUCAGCCCUAGAAAGCAAAAGAUAAAAAUAAAAUUUUCACAGUCCAGUAGUUUAUUUAGUUUCUGUUCCUCACCAACAGAACAUCAGCCCAGUGAAGGCAGGGGCUGUGUCUGUGGCAGUCGGUGUUGUGUCCACAGUGCUCAAUAAAUGAUUAAUGAUAAUGUCAGAGUGGGGCUCAUGUGCUAAUUGUAAUAAUAAUUAUUAUUGCCACUUGGACCUCUUCCCUGGGAUGUCCACCUAGCAUCCCACAUACAAAUUUGACCUCUUUUCCCAUAUUCUCUUCUCCUCCAGUGACUCCAUCUCUCUUCCACCAUCAUCAAAGCCAGAGUUCAUGGACUCCUGUCCCCUUCUCAACCUUUACUCUCCUGCCCUUCUCUCCCAUCCCCUCCCUCAACUACGUUAUUCUGUCCCUCCUUCCUCCUGACCCCUUCUCUCCCCCUCUGUUGCCACCACCCAUAUACUGGCCCUGUCAUCACUCCCUGGUCCCAUGGAGUGUCCUGCUCCUCAAGCUACCUGUUGUGCCCUUUACCCCGACAGUUUGUUCUUCCCACAGCAGUCAGAGUCUUUUUUCCCCCAUUUAAUUAUUUAUUUUUAUUUUAAACUAUUUAUUUAUUUUUGUCUGAUCCCAUGGCAUGUGGAAGUUCCCAAGCCGGGGACUGAACCCAUAUCACAGCAGUAACCCAAGCUGAGAUACUGGCAACACCAGACCCCUAACCCACUGUGCCACAAGGGAAUUACUUGUGGGAAUUACUUAUUUUAAAUUGAAGUAUGAUUGAUUUACAAUGUUGUGUUAAUUUUAAGUGUACAAAGUCAUUCAGUUGUAUAUACUACAUAUGUAUAAAUCUAUUGUUUUUCAUUUAUAAUCACCAAAUACUGGAAGCAAUCCAAAUGUCCAUCAACUGGUGGUAUAUCUAUUCAACUGAAUAGCACUCAGCAAUAAUAAUGAAGGCACAGAGUUCCCGUCAUGGCUCAGUGGUUAGCGAAUCCGACUAGGAACCAAGAGGUUGUGGGUUCGAUCCCUGGCCUCACUCAGUGGGUUAAGGAUCUGGCAUUGCCAUGAGCUGUGGUGUAGGUUGCAGACACGGCUCGGAUCCCCGUGUUGCUGUGGCUGUGCCAUGGCUACAGCUCCAAUUCGACCCCUACCUAGCCUGGGAACCUCCAUAUGCUGCGGGAGCAGCCCAAGAAAUGGCAAAAAAAAAAAAAGACAAAAAAAAAAUAAGGAAGGCACUACUGUUAUGUGUAACAACACAAAUAAAUCUCAAAAGCAACAUGUUAAAUAAAAAAAAGGCAAAACAAUAAAUAAAUAAAUCUAUUGUUUUUCAGAUUCUUUUCCCAUUAUAUGUUAUUACAAGAUACUGAGUAUAGUUCCCUGUACUAUGCAGUAGCCUUUGUUGGUUGUCUUUGUAUUUUUUUGUCUUUUUAGGGCCUUGUUCAAAGCAUAUGGAAAUUCCCAAGGUAGGAGUUGAAUCAGCUGUAGCUACUGGCCUACACCACAUUCACAGCAAUGUGGGAUCUGAGCCUCAUCUGUGACCUACACCACAGCUCAUGACAACGCUGGAUCCUUAAGCCACUGAGCGGAGCCAGGGAUUGAACCUGAGUCCUAAUGGAUACUAGUCUGGUUAAUUACUGCUAAGGCAUGAUGGCAACUCCGGUUGUCUAUUUUAGAUAUGGUAGUGUGUACAUGUUAAUCCCAAACUCCCAAUUUAUCUCUCCCCCCACACCCAGAGGGAGUCUCUCUCUCUUUUUUUUUUUUUUGGCUUUUUAAGACCACACCUGCAGCAUAUGGAGCUUCCCAGGCCAGGGGUCUAUGCCACAGUCACAGCACAUCAGAUCCGAGCCUUGUCAGUGACCUAUACCACAGCUCACAGGAAUACCAGAUCCUUAACCCACUGAGCAAGGCCAGGGAUUGAACAUGCAACCUCAUGGUUCCUAGUCGGAUUUGUUUCUGCUGUGCCACAAGGGGAACUCUGAGGAGUCUUUUAAGAUGUAAAUCAGAUUAUCUCUAUCCCAUUUUUAAAAAUUUUUUAGUCCUUCCUCUAAGGACUAAAUGUUCAGUGAGCAUUUACUGAGCACCUACUAUGGGCCAGGCAGUCCUUUGGGGCUGAGGAUGCAGGGUUAAAUGAGAUGAAGUCCCAGCCAUCACAGAGUUGACAGUCUAAUAGGGGCAGGCAGACAAGUAGCAAAUAAACCACUGCACAUAUAAGAUAAUUUCAGAGUACAAUGAGGGGAAUAACCUGGGCUAUGUGACGGUGGGUCUUCUCAGGGUGGCAGGGAAGGCAUCCUGGAGGAGGAAGAAUUUGCAAUGAGUCAGAAGGAGUGGGAGGAGGUGCUGGGAACAGCAUUUCGGGUGGACAAAAGAAGCAAGUGACAGAGAGCCCAAUGGCUCUGAACAGCCAGGAGGCCAUUAGUGGCAGGAGAGUGGAGUCCAAGGGGCCAGAGGUGAGAUUAGGCAAAAAAAAACAAGGCAGGGAGUUCCCACUGUGGCUCAGUCGGUUAAGAACCUGACUAGUAGUCAUGAAAAUGUGAGUUCGUUCUGUGGCCUUCCUCAGUGGGUUAAGGAUCCACUGUUACCAUGAGCUGUGGUGUAGGCUGUGAAUGCAGCUUGGAUGAAGCAUUGCUGUGGCUGUGGUGUAGGCCUUCAGCUUCAGCUCCCAUUCACCUCCUAGCCCGGGAACUUCCAUAUGCUGCAGGCAAGAAAAGGCAGGGCAGGCUGGAAGGCAGACUAGGGAGGACCCUACUGUCCUUUGUCUACACACGUGCAGGCUAGUGGCUUGAAGCCCAGCACAUUCAGGCCCAAACCCCCUCCGCACCCCAUCUGCAUUCAUCACCCUGCCUCUUUUUUUUUUCUUCCUUGGCUAUACCAGUGCCAGGCAGAAGUUCCCAGCCCAGGGAUGGAACCAGAGCUACAGUGGUGACGGAUGGAACCAGAGCUACAGUGGUGACAAUGCCAGAUCCUUAACUCUCUGCACCCCCAGGAAAUCUGUCCCCUACCUCCCUUGCCUCACAGUGCAGCCAGGGGGGCUGUGCACUGGUUUCCCAGACAGGAGCUGUACUUCCCAUCAAGGCCACCAGGCUUUUGCUCUCACAGGCCCUCCUCCAGCCGUGCCAUUCCCCUCCCCCACCUUUGUAGCAUUUUCAUCCUUUGAAAACUGACUCAGGAUUUCCCUGGUGGCUCAGCAGGUUAUGGAUACAGCUUUGUCGCUGCUGUGGCUCGGGUGACUUCUGUAGCAAGGGUUUGAUUCCUGGCCCUGGAACUUCCACGUGCUUGGCCAACCUCCCUUUCACCCCCCCCAAAAAACAGCUGACUCAGAAGUGACCUCAUUGUGAAGGCUCUUCUGUCUGGGUCAAGUUCCUCUCCCCACCCACCCAGCACGGCUCAUGGUAAUGAUAAUAUUAGUUACCAUGGCUCGUGUUUAUGUUGUAUGCUUACUGUAAGCCAGACACUGCUCGGAGUGCUUUUCACAUAAUGCUACGUGAAGUCCUCAGGGCACCAGAACAGGAAGUGGUGGUGUGGAUGGGAGGGUGGGGCACUAGGCCAUCCCUAUUUUCCAGAUGUGGGAACUGAGGCCAUAGCGCUUUAGUGUUCUGUCCCAGGUCCCCCAGGAGAGAGCUGUAGUUAAAAGCACUAGCUCUAAAACACUUCCGCUUUCAUGCCGUUAAGUAGAGGUCAGUAUUUGUUUAAUGACUUUUUUUUUUUUGCCACACCCACCACACCUGGAAGUGUCUGGGACAGGGAUCGAACGUGUGCCACAGCAGCAACCUGAGCCACAGCAGUGACAACACUGGAUUCUUAACCUACUGUGCCACAAGGGAACUCCUGUUUAUGACUGUUUUCAUAGCUUUUUUUUUUUUAAGGUAAAUUUUAUAUACAAUGCAAUGCACAAAUCUUAAGUGUACAGGCACUGAGGCAAAGGCAUACACUGGGGUAACCCACCUAUAUUGAGGUUCAGAACAUCACCAUCACUCAGAAAAGUUCCCUCACAUCCCUUCCCAGUCAAUUCCUCACUAGCCCUCCCAGAGGCAACCACUAUUCAUUUAUUGUGGGGCUUUUCUUCACUGUGGCUCAGUUUUCUAGCAAUUUGAAAGCAUUGGCAUUGUUCCAUUUUCAUGGGGUUUAGUUUUACGAAUGGGUGACACUAAUUUUCCACAUGCUGUAGAGAUAUGGUUUACAUUUUUUUUUGGCCAUACCUGGGAAGUACCCCGGGCCAGGGUUCAAACCUGCACCACAGCAGCGACCCCAGCCACAGCAGUGACAGUGGGGAUCCUUAACCUACUGCAGGUGCG
rnacentral:lncRNA from 1 species